GUUCGGAUCGCAGCCUGCAACCCGGCUGCGUGAAGCUGGAAUCGCUAGUAAUCGCGGAUCAGAAUGCCGCGGUGAAUACGUUCCCGGGUCUUGUACACACCGCCCGUCACACCAUGGGAGCUGGUAACACCCGAAGUCAGUAGUCUAACCGCAAGGAGGACGCUGCCGAAGGUGGGAUUAGCGACUGGGGUGAAGUCGUAACAAGGUAGC
rnacentral:rRNA from 1 species